rnacentral:rRNA from 1 species
GUGCCGCCGCCGCGGUAAUACGUAGGUGGCAAGCGUUGUCCGGAUUUACUGGGCGUAAAGGGAGCGUAGGUGGAUAUUUAAGUGGGAUGUGAAAUACUCGGGCUUAACCUGGGUGCUGCAUUCCAAACUGGAUAUCUAGAGUUCAGGAGAGGAAAGUAGAAUUCCUAGUGUAGCGGUGAAAUGCGUAGAGAUUAGGAAGAAUACCAGUGGCGAAGGCGACUUUCUGGACUGAAACGGACACUGAGGCUCGAAAGCGUGGGGAGCAAACAGGAUUAGAUCCCCUGGUAGUCCACGCCGUAAACGAUGAAUACUAGGUGUAGGGGUUGUCAUGACCUCUGUGCCGCCGCUAACGCAUUAAGUAUUCCGCCUGGGGAGUACGGUCGCAAGAUUAAAACUCAAAGGAAUUGACGG